rnacentral:rRNA from 1 species
CCUACGGGAGGCAGCAGUGGGGAAUAUUGCACAAUGGGGGGAAACCCUGAUGCAGCGACGCCGCGUGGAGGAAGAAGGUCUUCGGAUUGUAAACUCCUGUUGUUUGAGGAAGAUAAUGACGGUACUCAACAAGGAAGUGACGGCUAACUACGUGCCAGCA